rnacentral:misc_RNA from 1 species
GAUGAAGAACGUAGCGAAAUGCGAUAAGUAAUGUGAAUUGCAGAAUUCAGUGAAUCAUCGAGUCUUUGAACGCACAUUGCGCCACUGGUAUUCCGGGGGGCAUGCCUGUCCGAGCGUCAUUGCUGCCCUCAAGCACGGCUUGUGUGUUGGGCCUCCGUCCUCCUCCCGGGGGACGGGCCCGAAAGGCAGCGGCGGCACCGCGUCCGGUCCUCGAGCGUAUGGGGCUUCGUCACCCGCUCUUGUAGGCCCGGCCGGCGCUUGCCGACACAUCAAUCUUUUUUCCAGGUUGACCUCGGAUCAGGUAGGGAUACCCGCUGAACUUAAGCAUAUCAAUAAGCGGAGGA